rnacentral:lncRNA from 1 species
CAGCUCUAGCAGGGAUGCUCCUGAGCUUGGCGGACAUACUUAGAUCCUAACGUGCCAGUGAGACCUGGCUGUGGAGAGUAGCACUGGCAGCCCUGCCUGGACUCCACUUGGCAUGAUACCAGCUCCAGAAGGGAAGGGAGUGGAGCAGGCAGUGAGGAGAGAGCCUGGGGGUCGGCUGGGGACAGCCGUAUGUGCUAGCUGCUUGCCCAGCGAGUGUUCCCGGAGUCUCCUCGCCGCACCCCGCUAUCGGGCGCUCAGACCAGGGGCUCGGCCUGGCGGGAAAUAGCCUCGACCGAACUGCUGCGGGGACAAAGAGCCGCGAGUUCGCUCCCUGCCCCCAGUGUCUCCUAAGCGAGCCUUCUGCUCCUAGGAAGGCGCCUUUCCAGCAGCCGCUGGGACCCUGGCCAGUGUUUAGCUCCCAACUAGUAACAGACGGAAAGAAAAAAUAAAAUUAUCCAGAAUCUAGAAUAAA